rnacentral:rRNA from 1 species
GACGAACGCUGGCGGCGUGCUUAACACAUGCAAGUCGAACGGAAAGGCCCUGCUCUUGUGGGGUGCUCGAGUGGCGAACGGGUGAGUAACACGUGAGUAACCUGCCCUGGACUUUGGGAUAACUUCAGGAAACUGGGGCUAAUACCGGAUAUGAGCUCCUGCUGCAUGGUGGGGGCUGGAAAGUUUCGGCGGUUGGGGAUGGACUCGCGGCUUAUCAGCUUGUUGGUGGGGUAGUGGCUUACCAAGGCUUUGACGGGUAGCCGGCCUGAGAGGGUGACCGGCCACAUUGGGACUGAGAGAGGGACCAGAGUCGUACGGGGGACAGCAGUGGGAAGUAUUGCACAGUGAGCGGGAGCCUGAGGCAGCGACGCCGCGUUCGUGAUGACGGCCUUCGAGUUGUAAACCGCUUGCGCCUAUGACGAAGCGUGAGUGACGGUAAUGGAUAAAGAAGCACCGGCUAACUACGUG